UACGGAGGGGGCUAGCGUUGUUCGGAAUUACUGGGCGUAAAGCGCACGUAGGCGGCUUUGUAAGUUAGAGGUGAAAGCCCGGGGCUCAACUCCGGAACUGCCUUUAAGACUGCAUCGCUAGAAUUGUGGAGAGGUAAGUGGAAUUCCGAGUGUAGAGGUGAAAUUCGUAGAUAUUCGGAAGAACACCAGUGGCGAAGGCGACUUACUGGACACAUAUUGACGCUGAGGUGGCGAAAGCGUGGGGAGCAAACAGG
rnacentral:rRNA from 1 species